rnacentral:lncRNA from 1 species
AGCAGAGACUGCGUAUAGCACUGUUACUUUGAAGAGUUUAAGUAAAUAUUAUUUUUGUUCCUCCUCCAUUUUAAGGGUAAAGUGACGUGUAUUUAAAAGCUAUCUGAAAUUCAGACACCUGCCAGCACAGCAUAAGAGAGUGAAUGCUAAGGCUGAUCAUAUUUAUAUACGUGAUGAUACUUGACACUGUCCUUUAACAGCUGGUCUCUGCAUACUGCAACAGAUGUUCUGCCUCUUGUAAUAAACAUUUCUCUCUUUACUUCUCUGCAUUUAACCCACUUUGUUUUGCAUUCUGUGAUGUCCUUAGCAGAAUAUGCCAUGCUUGCAUCUAUCUAGCAAGUUGGAACAGUGAUAGCAAUUUUAAUUAAUCACUGCAAGGUUCUAUUUUGCAUGAAGAAGGCUCAGCCUCUUUGACCCAUUAAUUAAAUUGUGGAAUUUACAGUUUCUUGAAAAUGUUGAAGAAGCAAAGGAUUAGACAGAUCUGAGCUUUAUUUGAAAUGGAAAUUGAGACACACUGGACUGCAGAUAGCGAAGAGAGGAGUGACAUGUUAAAAAGGGCUUCAAGUUCAACAGCCAUCUACUAAGCCAAAGCCAACUAGAGGCAGGAAUUUUCCGUGACAGAAAUAAUACAGCAGCAGGAGUCAAUGGGUUAGAUCUUCGGGGCUAAAUCAGCCAAGUGCCUUUAAACCCUGCAGAAACUCCGACUUCCACAGCGAGAAUUUCGUUAUCACUUUUUCUUUUGAUUAAAACUAGGACCUGUUUAUCACUGAAAAGAAGUGCCCAUCUGAGGUUCUUCCUAUCAGCACAGGAGGCAGAGACAAGAUUUCUAAUGAACCAUUCAGUACAAGCACUUUGAAACUACCUAAUCACCAACAGAUUUCACCUGCAACAGACUUAGGUAAAUACUCAGAACUUUCCAGCUGGAGAUGCAUGUUAUGAAGAGCAUUAAGAGCUGCAGAAUGGGUACUGUAAAGUUUUUACUAACCAGUUUUUGAAAUGAGAUGCUUCUAGCUCAGGAGAGCAUUGAAGGCAUAUUUAAAUCCUCCUGAAAACUCUAAGCCAGUGCUUAAGUGCUUUUGGAAAUCAUCACUGGGGUGAGUCUGAUUUUCAUGCAUCCUUUCUGAAAUCCCUCUCUUCCUUAUUCUUGCAAAUGAGCUGUCCUGCAGGAAAGUUGGUGGAAUGAUAAUUUUCAAGCCAAAGUUAGAGAGAAUUUGUUCGAAACAAGAAUUUGGAGUUCAGAAUUUCUGCCACAGACCUGAUGCAACGAGUGGUAUUCAUCCAACAGGGAGACUGUGCUAUGAAGAAUGUGUCUAGCUGAAUUUUACUCGCAGCAAAGUGCUCUUGGAUAGGUUCCAAGACAAUAAUUAUUGGAUACCGGGGAGCUGCAAAUAAGUGCUAAGGGAUUAGGAAGCACAGCACUCGCACAGAUAACAUCCCCCCUUUUGGCUGCUCAGAAUCCCAUCUCUGCUCUGGCUACCAUGACAAAAUCUCCAUCUUCUCUUUCCAGCUACUAACUGAUGCUGAGCGAGAUGAAAGUGUUGGGUGCUGGGAGACAUUUUGUAGUAUUUGCCAAGUGCUCAUGCACAAACCCCGAAACUGGGCAGAGGCUUUGGGAGGUCCCAGCCAUGUCUCCUUGGAAAAAUGUUUUCCCAUGAGGCCCAUGGCUGCAACUCAAACUCAGCUGCCCCAUGGCAUUGCUCCACACAAAAGAAAGGGUCCAGCCACACAGCUUGUAAUGCCAAAGAUGGAUACCAACACAGUGGGUAUGUUUACAAGUUCUUCGUUAUCAACGUAUUUAUUACUAUUUGUGGACUGGGAGGCAUUUAUGUGCAUGGAAGUAUUCAACCAUCCUUGUCAUUUUAGUUGGAAAGUGUGACAGAGUAAAUGGUGAAAUAAGCAUAGAGAGAUGAAAGCAAGGUGGUAUGCUGUGCUGGGCUGCUGGACCAGUAUUAAUGUCUGGCCAGAUGUCAGUCUAGAAGGCACCAAAGCAGAGAUUUACAUUUUGUUUGUGUGGGGAAAAAAACAUUGAAGUCAGUACUGAAAAAUACUGCUGCACAUGGACUUGCUUUUCUGACCCACUUCAUUUGAUAGAAACCAGACCCCUAAAGCAAAUCUCCCUAUUUUCCUCUUUUCCCAAGGCAAGUGGUAGACCCAGGAGAGAAAUCAGGAUGAAUGUUUCCUUGUAUUCACUGAGAACUUCAUUUAUGACAGAUUACUUGCUCUUCAUUUUUUUCAUUUAAAAAUUACUCCUGUGCUAUUGUUGCCUACGCAGGAACACAUCGUUUCUUAACUGCUUUGAAGAAAGUGCUGUAAUGUCAGUGCAUCAGCAGAGGAGGAAGUGCUACUUGUGGGUAAAAUUCAGCUUACGAUGGAAGAGUCACAGUGCUAAUGAUGGAACCAGAAAAUAAUCUGAAGCUUUUUGCCAGGUGUGUUUGGUUCAAAAACAAAAUCCCCAUCAAAUCCUAAGGGAGUCGAGCAACACUUCCUCCCCUAGAUUUUAAUAUAAACCUUGGCAGAGUUUAAGUCUGGAUGGCUAAAGCAACUACAGGAAAAUUCUAAGUCAGUAGGAGAUAGAGAGUAAACAACAACAAACUGACGUCAGUGCUGAGAGAGCGGAUAUCUGAUACAGCUGCUGCUCUUUGAAGAACUACUUAAAAACGUGUUGACUACUUUCUUUUGGAAAAUAUUUCAAUGAGAAUAUAUAAAAAACCUUUUUUUUCCUCUUUCACUUCCUUCCUUCUUUCUUCUGCCACAGUGUAACCUACUGUAGAAGAAUGAAAAAGCACAGAUGAAUCUCAUGUCAACCAAAUACUGCCAUGAGUGAUUGUGCUUCUCUCUGUUCCUGUUUCAGACAUACUGAUGUGAUGAAUGAAUUAACCAAGGAGCAUAAUACCUCAUUGCCAACUGAGAGCAAAUCCUUGAAGUUCAGUGCUAUUCCACUUAAAAUAUUUCAGUUGGAUCUCAAACCAAGAUGUGCAGAAGAAUUGUUACCACUGAAGAAGCUGGAUUUUUUGUCAAGAAGGAGACUCGUGAUUCCUUUGCUUCAGGGAAAUUUAAAUGAAGAAACGUUCAAUUUGGAGGUUUGCCUAUUCUACUUGGAAAAUGUUAAAAAAUGGGUUGAAGAAAACAAGAAGAGCCAGAAAAGACUGCAAAGGAAAAUUGCCAUAUCUUUAGUCAAGUUUAUAAAUCUUUCCCUGGGACUUUUUGACAAAUGACUGCCCACCAACUUUGUGAGAUUUCUCCUGGACA